CAGCCCCGGCGGGGCGGGAGGUCACGGAGAAGGUGGGGCUGCUGCGGCCUCUCGCCUGCAGGUACAGACGCCUGCAAAUGUGGAGCUUCCCGGAGCAUGAGAAAAGGGGAAAUCUGGGGCUAUAAUGGGAGGGCUGUAAUGUCUUGAGGCCAAGAGGACCAGUGGUGACCUGGGGUGCCUCGGGAAGGGUAUGGCCAGCAGGUCAAGGGAGAUGAUCCUGCCCCUCUGCUCGGCCCUAGUGAGGCGACAUCUGGAACACUGUGUUGAGUUCUGGGCUCCUCAGAACAAGAAAGACAAAGAGAGGGUCCGGUGGAGGGUCACAGAGAUCAUUUGGGGUCCAGAGCAUCUCUUUAAUGAGGAGCGGCUGCAGCAGCUGGGCCUGCUCAGUCUAGAGAGCACUGACAGGGGAUGACAUUAAUGCAUAUAAAUAGCUUAAAGCAGGUUUCGGAUGGUACCAGGUUCUUCUCAGAGGUGCCCAGUGACAGAACGAGAAACAAUGGCUAUAAACUAAAACAUAAAAAGUUUCACCUCAACCUAAGGAAGAAUUUACUAAUGACAGAGCACUGAACAGGCUGCCCAGGGAGGUCGUGGAGUCUCUGGAGACAUUCAAACCCCACCUGGCCAGGUUCCUAUGCAACCUUCUCUAGAUGACUCUGCCUCGUCAGGGAAACUGAACUAGAUGAUCACCAGAGGUCCCUACGAACCCUGACAAUUUUGUGAUUCAGUGGUUUAUUGACUUGAGGAGGAGCUGGAGGCGGCAGGGAGCACGGUGCUGCCGAGCCCCGCCUGGCCGGGAUUGCUCCCGAAUUCGCAGCGGCUUCCUGGGCAGGGCCGUGCCCACAGGGACUGGCUCCAGACUCCACCUACCUGCCUGCCCGCGGAAUGAAAGUUAGACUCUGAUCCCAGUCUACAGCUUCUUAUGCGUGUGUUCGGUCCUGGGAUGCCACUGAUUAUACAAAAUACAUUUUACCUAUAAUAUACACAUAAUGCAAAAUGACACAAACCCGAAGCAUUUGAAAGACUGACUACUAACGUAAAAUAUUUUAAUGUUUCAUAUUUAUCUUUGGAAAAAGUAACAAACAUUCAUACAGACUUUAUAGCUACCCUAGGAAGUGGUGGUGAAUAAGUUGAUAGAUAAUUUUGUCAUUCAUUUUCAGAAUCUAAUGUUUUCUCUCCAUACAUACCAGCUUUUCUCAAGUAGAUCUUAGGUAAUUUUCUUUCUUCCCCAGAGGCCAGAGAUACUUAUCUUUCAGUGUUUCAUUGUUUUGUCUAACACCACUCGUUGAAAGAUGUUUGCAACAAAGCAAAAAUGAGACCAGGUCUGUUUGUUGUCUGUUAGCAGAUAAAUGUAAAACUAACUUUUCUGCUAGGACUGGCCUCAUGGUGUAUGCUAUGGGCCAACAGCUCCUACAGGUGAAUCUGUGCAGCAGACCUUGGCCAAGAAGUUCAGUAAAAAGCUAAGAGAGGGUGGGCUCAAGCUGUAUAAUUAGAUAAAAUGAGAGAACACAGUCCACCAGGUAAUGCUGCUGUGUUUAGAGUGUGUCUCCCUAAAAGAGGUGAACAACAGGAGCUGUUGCAUGUAUUUUGUUUGGUUGGGUUUGAACUUUUGUUUUUCAUUUCUGGUUCUCAGUCUGUUUGGUUUAGUGGUUACUUCCUGCUGGUUUGGGGGUUGAAAGACAAGGGGAAGUUAAGAGUGCCUGAUGUUGGUGUACCUGGGACCCUAUAGUUUGAAUACCAUCAAGCCUCAUAACUUCCUCAGACUAAGAUCAAAGGAGUAAGCAGGAGAUUAUUCCUGUUCAGUAAAUGUGCUGUCGAAUGUCAGCAAUUACAAAGACUAGAUAGAUACUUUUGACCAUACUAAGCAGAGAAAUGAAAUCAUCAUAGUCCUAAUUAUAUAUAUGCUUUUCAUUUGGGAAUGGAUGUAGGAGCAUAUUUUCAUUUUAGGAAACAAAAAAAAAAUGGAAAGAAAAUCUUGUGUGGUUUAAGCAUAUUUUGCUUAUCCUUAUCUCUCUGAGUAUAAUAGCAUAAUAAUGGUUUUGAUCAUGUUAUUUUUCUUUUUUCCCCUACUAAGCUAUAGCACUACUUAGUUAAUAAUAAUGUCAUUUCCUUAUAUUUUUCCUAAACUUCUUGAGUUGGAGAUGCUCUGGUUGUGAUUUGUACAUAUCUCAAUUGUGUCAUUUGGUGCCAGAAUGUAGUAAUCUUCUAACAACUUUCCUAUAUACAAAUUCAUAUAUGAAGCCUACAAAUUCAUGUAUAUAAUAGAAAAUGCAGACAGUAAUAUAAAAUCUCUGUUUUGCAAACCAGCAGAUUGCUGAUGGAACACACUUUCUCUGAGACCUGGAUCAAUACAGAAUGCAUUUUAAGAUUCUAACUGUUUUCUGUAUUUUCUAUGGCUUUAAUUUGCCUUGCAAAAAUAAUUUCCUGUUCUGUGAAUGUGAUCUUGUAUGACUCUUCUUCUUAAAGUUUCUGAACUUGCCAGGAGAACAACAUUGACAUGCCGGGGCACAGAGCUGGGCUUUAUCAUAACUGUCUGGGAAAUAUACAAUACCUGUUUUGAAUAUUAGUAUUUUGUAAGGAAAGAGCAUGAUGUAUCCCAGCACUAACUUUCCCACAGCAAUGUUCAUAAACCCAACAGGCAGAAGAUGGGAAAAGGCUAAUACUUUUACCAUAUACAUUUCUGGGAAUCUGGACAGCACAGAGCGGAUGGUCAGUCAGAUAACUUCCCUGGUUUUACAAUUUUCUUUUCACUCAGAUACGAUAAUGAUAAAGGUAGCUGCAUUUCUCCAAACAUUAGAUAUGUAGAUUGUAUAGGUGUUUUUUAUGUCCAUCCUCAGAUGGAAAGUAUCAUAACUUAACAAUGCUGAAAAUUUGUUUCCAGUAAAGCUGUUAUUUAAUAAACAUUUCUUCUGUUUAAACUUUUCAAGCAAAUACUUGAGGCUAGCUUCCAGUUAUAUUCUUCUUCUAGUUUUGCUGUUUACUCAGUGCUUUAUAUUAGAAGUAAUGACAUUGUGCUUUUAAGAUUUUUUUUUGUAAAUAUAGUCUGAAGUGUGAUAUAAAUAUAAAGAGUCUGUCUUGCCUCAAAGUGGCUUAAUACACUAAUAUAGUUUUAAAAAAAAACAUUUCAGUUUAAGGAGGGAAUAACAUUUGCCUUUCUGUAUCCAUUUGAAUAAAACAAAGGAAUGUUACGUGAAAUGUCUUGUGGCAGGUCCAAUAAAAAACUAGAGGAGAAUUUGGAUGCAGAAAUCAAAAGUUGUAAGUCUGGAGGCAUUACUGAUAAUCUGCUUACAAGGUGCCUCCAUGGGAUAACUGGCUUGGUAGAUGAGAGUAGCAUCCUCAUUACUGGGUGCUGGAGCAGAGUGUAUCUACUGCAAGCUCGCUGAAGAUGCAAAACAGGAAUUUCAGAGUCCUGCAGCUGGGGAGGAGCAACCAACCCCAGGCACCAUUACCUGCUGGGGGCUGAGCCACUGAAAAGCAACUUUGCAGAAAAGGACAUGGGGGUAUUGGUGGACACCAAGUUGAUCAUGCACUUUGUGGCAAAGAAGACAUACGAUAUCCUGAGUUGCAGGUUGAGAGAGGUGAUCCUUCCCCUCUACAUUGAUGCCUUAGGGGAAGUAUUGUGUCCAGAUCUGGGCUCCUUGAGACAAAAGAAACAGGAAUACUUUUAAAAGCUGGAGUCUCAUUUUGAAGGCAUUUUGAAUAGGAGUCAAUGGCUAUAUUCAACAAACAACCUAAAUGGAAGUACUGAUCUCUUCUUGGAUUGUCUUGUGGUUUAGGGCCUUCAGCUGUUCUUGAAGUAUGGGACAGCCUUGUCUAAUACUUCUUAUUUUUAUACCAAAUCUCCCAUACAAAUCCUGUAACCUUUAAGAAUCCCUGCUGUGAAGGAGCAACCCCUGCUUUGGGAUAAUUACCCAUUGCAUUUGAUGUGGAAUAAUUGUGAGUGUAGUCACACUUAGAAUAUAUAAACUGGGCCAUUUCUAUAUUCCCUGGCAACUUUAUUAUG